GGCGGUGGAGAUGAAGGAAGCUGCUACAGCGCCUGAGCCUCUCCACAGCCACAGCAACUCUUGGCAGCUGAGUUGAUGCAGGUCUAUUUCAGGCGACAAAUGAUGACUGGAUGCAGGACCACAAAAUGUAGUCCGCUCUCAAGGCACUUUGCAGUCUGGGUAACCUGGAACCCAUGCGGCAGGGCAUACCACUGUCCCGGGAAGACUACUGCACAGACAACAUGGAAGGAAGUAUUGGGGACGCCUGGGCUGGCCAGGGAGCUGUUUGGCCCUCCAGGGCACUUCAAGUAGAAUUUGAAGACAGACAGGAUUUAUUUCCAGGCCCUUGUAAUUGCUACUACCUUAGCCUGAGGCCGAAGUUCUCAAAAGCUGACCUGGGGCUCAAGUUCUCAAGCCAAUCUGGGACUGAGGUUAUUAAGAUUCCUGGGA